GCCAUGAAAUGCGAAGAGAGUGCAGAUAAACCCUAAGCUUUCACCCGCCUCUCACUCUCCUCACAAAUCAAGUAUUCGACAAGAAUUGAUCUUUGAACUCCAUCGUCCAUUUGUAAGUGUUUCUGAUAUGUAUAUCGUUUGAUCUAAUUUCAACCCUAGAUUCAUGAUUCAGUUUCAUCUUCUUUGGUAUUUGAAAUGAUUGAAUUAGAAAGUGAUGAUGUUGAAAUGGAUUCAACACCCAAAUAUCUAGAUUGUGCUGUUCAUAUGUUCGGUUCUUCUGGUAAUAAUGGUUACUUAGGGUUUUAUUGUAAUAGUUGUGAUAUGAGGUUACUUAGUUGUUGGAACCCUUCCACUAAAAAAUACAUAAAACCUACAAAACAUCUCAAUAAGAUCUUCGGUUAUUAAGCAUUAAGAGGCUGGGCGAUUUGUGGAAUGAAGACAUGAUGCAAGAUUUUGUCCACGUUAAAUUUGGAAUCAGUGUUUAGAAUAUACAUAGAGAUUAAUAUUGAGAAGAAAGUCAAUUUGGGUUUAGAAUCAGUGCUUGUUUGCAGCAUUGAUCAUGGUAUUCAGCAACCUAAUGCGGAGUAGAUGAGUAUAUUCAGUGCUUGUUUGCAGCAUCAAUCAUGGUAUUCGACAACCUAAUGCAUAGUAGAUGAGUAUAUUCAGUGGUUGUUUGCAGCAUCAAUCAUGGUAUUCGACAAACUGUAGCCUUCGUUUCUCAGUGGUUGAUUAGUAUAUGAGUAUAUUCAGUGGUUUUUUGCAGCAUCAAUCAUGGUAUUCAACAAACUUUAGUCUUCGUUUCUCAGUGGUUGAGUAGUAGAUGAGUAUAUUCAGUGCUCGUUUGCAGCAUCGAUCAUGGUAUUCAACAAACUGUAGCCUUCGUUUCUCACCUAAUGCGUAGUAGAUGAGUAUAUUCAGUGCUUGUUUGCAGCAUCGAUCAUGGUAUUCAACAAAUUGGGAUGUGUUGGUUUAAGAUAAUUAGAAUUCUACUGUAGCAUCCUGACCUAGGUAGUGAAAAUAACUUCUUUUUUAAGCUAAAAGAAGAAGAAAGAAGUUGUUUUCAUUAAUAGAUUAGAAUGCGUGUGUGGGGUAAAAAGAAGCUGGUAAGAAAAUUGAAGUUGAAACUGUUGAUGCUGGUUCAGCAAAAGGUCCAGCAAGAAGUUCUCAUCAAUAUUGGUUGAACUGUUGGUACCACGAAGUCUCUGAAGGUGGCAACACGGAGUUGGUUUCAGGUCGUAUCAACUUAGAUGAUUGGUCUGAUGAAGAAGUUGAAUCCAUGCUUCAGAUUGGUGGAAAUUCUUCUGCUAAUUCAACCUGAUGGAAUCACAAAGCCUGGAGCAGAUUCAAGUCCUGAACGGAGUUCCAAGAUUAUCAGGUGUGUAAAAUUUCCUGGUGAUAUAGCAUGUUGAUACCUUAGGAGUGUGGUUAGGUCACUGUACAUAUGCCGUGAGGUGUUUGACAAAUCUUGCAUGUGUACUGUAGGUGUGUGUUCCACCUUUAUCAUCAAACAACUUUGCUUGUCUCAAUAUGGAUUGCAAAAGUUAAAAAAUAAUUAAAAAAACCAGUCCCUAAAUUACAUGUUUAAGAAUCAUCAGAUGACAGACCAUGUAAAUCUAGCGACACACAGCAGACCAAAAUUACAGAUCCAUCAACUUCACUCGUCUCAGUAUAGUGGUUUUUCAGAAUCAAGAGUAACGCUGGUGACACAAAACAAUCCAAGAAUAUUCGAUUCUUCAUGGCCUACCAGCUAAAUUGCAUAUCUUCCUAAUCCGAAGAACCUGCAUGGUUACGUAGAGAGAGGGAGGGAUUGACUUGAGUAUUCAAAGAACUUUUGAGAUUAAUUAAUGAAAUAUUGAACUCGCUCUUAACUUAUGCUUAUUUGAGCUGUGUUUAAUUUGCAAACUCUUCAUCGCCUUCAUCGUUAACUGUCUACAUGUUUCUGUGUUCAUGCUUUUAUCUGCCAAGUUGAUUUCACCACUUGGCACUUGCCUCCUAACUCAGUCCAAUCGUGUACAAUCUUCAGCUGACCAAAAGAUUGUGUAUAAUGUUCACGGCUCGAAGAAACAGACCAGCAAAGCACACUGGACGAUUUCAGUAAGCAAAGAUCUGAGGUUACCCAAACAUGUGUAGUUCAGUCGGUUGUGCUGGCAGCACCAACAUCCCCUGCUGAUUUACAGCUGCUGCAGCAGCUAGUAAUGCAAUAUCAACCAUGGGUAUUGCUUCUUGUGAGGAUGUGUUAACUCGAGUAGCAGGGAUAAAAAAGAUGAGCUUUUAUUUUGAAUACUAGUGAUAUGUUUGUAAUUGACUUUGUAUUCAGGGUUUCCUAAACCUUACGGUAUUCUGUUUCUAUAAACAGUUCACUUUUUCCUUU